AGGGACUUCCCAAGGCUUUGCUGUGAGGCAUUCACAGCUGUGGUGCCCCAUACACUCCCAGCUGAGGACACUCAAUGGAGAAGCUCAUGGAUACAGGAGUCCUAACACACUUCCAAGGGCUUCCAGCUGGGGCUCCUUUCUCACCUGUACACCCCAUAGCCCCAGAGGCUCCCAUUACACUCCAGGACCCUGAUAAUGACUGCAAACAGCCAGGAGGAAACUGAACAACCCUAGUGUGAGUGUAAUUGCCUUCAAAGCUAGCAGUGCCAGCAUGAAAGACUGUUUUCAGUAUGAACAGCCUUUCCACCAUCACAUGCCUCACCCAGGUGCACAUCUUUUGCAAAGGCCCAAGGGACUGAAACAGCUCUGCAAGGCCUUAAGAGAAGGGAAAUUGUUAUCAGAGUCUCCUGUUGACUCCACAGCCCACCAAGGAGGCUGCUGGCUUCUGCAGGCCGUCCCCCAUCUGUUGGAAUAGCAGGAAGUUUUGCGUUAGCAAUAAAAAAUACAAAAAGCUGGAGUCCAACUGGUGACUGAAGUCUGGUGUCAGGCUCCGCUGCGGAGAUAUCACAGCUGCAUACAGUGCCUGCUCUCAAAGAGGUGCUUAUUAAACAUUUGCCUUGGGUUUAUUUUCCCCGUUUGCUAAAACCAAACAUUCACAACAAGAUUCUGUAAGGGAGGGCUGCAAAUCAGAA